rnacentral:rRNA from 1 species
AUUGAACGCUGGCGGCAUGCCUUACACAUGCAAGUCGAACGGCAGCACGGGAGCAAUCCUGGUGGCGAGUGGCGAACGGGUGAGUAAAGUAUCGGAACGUGCCCAGUCGUGGGGGAUAACGUAGCGAAAGUUACGCUAAUACCGCAUACGAUCUAUGGAUGAAAGCGGGGGAUCGCAAGACCUCGCGCGAUUGAAGCGGCCGAUAUCAGAUUAGGUAGUUGGUGGGGUAAAGGCUCACCAAGCCGACGAUCUGUAGAUGGUCUGAGAGGACGACCAGCCACACUGGGACUGAGACACGGCCCAGACUCCUACGGGAGGCAGCAGUGGGGAACUUUGGACAAUGGGCGAAAGCCUGAUCCAGCCAUGCCGCGUGCAGGAUGAAGGCCUUCGGGUUGUAAACUGCUUUUGUACGGAACGAAAAGGUUUGGCCUAAUAAGCUGAGCUCAUGACGGUACCGUAAGAAUAAGCACCGGCUAACUACGUGCCAGCCGCCGCCGUAAUAC